UUCAGCCGGGCCGAGCUUUCUUGAUCACCCCUAGUUCAAACCUAGUGUUUGUGUCUAAGCCCAACCCACAAAGUGUCUUAGGCUGGCCGACAUAUAGCUUCAUUCCCACCAAUCCCACCUUUAGAGAAACAUCCUACCAUUAUAACAGUUGUCAUCACAACAAAUCCAAACAAGAAACUCAAAUAAAAAGCUCUGGUUUAAAAGGUCUUUCUAAAGUGUGCUCCUCAACAAACUACAGUUGAGGCUACCACGACCCAUUAAACCAACAAUAUUCAAAUAAAAACCACCUUCAAAUUUUUUUUAUUUAUUUUGACAGAUUCAAUUUUUCAAAUUUUAUAAACUUUUAAUGGUAUCACAUCAUUAUUUUUCCAACCCCUUUUUAUUAUUUUUUUUAGUUGGGUCUUUAAUAAUAAUUGAUAAUAUGCACAGCUAGCUUACAUCUUUCUCUGAUCACAUGAAAGUUUUCUGCUGCUGCUUUUGCCAAUUGCUAUCUUCCUCAAAUUUAAACUGCACAAAAACAAUCACCAUUUCCCCCUGAUUACUAAACCAACCAAAAAGAUAUAUUUACCCAAACCUACCCUAUUUAUUAUUUAUUUCAUCAUAUUCUUAUAAAUUCAUUAACCGCCCUUCUUUUUUAUUAGAUAAAUUUUUUAAGAAUAUAUAUCUGUUCAAACAAACUGUAGUCUUGUAAAAAAAAUUAUAGUCCAAGAUAAUAAUAAUGUCGCCGCAUAUGCAGAGAACUUUGCUCAAGGUUAUUGUCCUUGGUGAUAUUGCGGUGGGAAAGACUUCUCUAAUUACAAGAUACGUGCAAAAGAAAUUCAAUCAACAGUACAAGGCAACAAUCGGGGCAGAUUUUGUGACGAGGGAGUUGCAAAUCGAUGGCAAACUCGUUAGCCUUCAGAUUUGGGAUACAGCAGGGCAGGAAAGGUUUCACAGUUUAGGACCAGCAUUUUUUAGAGGAUCAGAUUGUUGUGUUUUAGUAUACGAUGUGAAUGAUCAAAGAUCGUUUGAAGCCCUCCAAACAUGGCGUGAUGAAUUUAUCAAACAGACAGAUAUUCCUGAUCCAACCAAGUUUCCUUUCGUGGUCAUUGGAAAUAAGAUUGAUCAAGAUGGUGGAGCCAAUCGCAAGUUUGUAUACAAAUUAGGUGGAAGAGAAAAGAGCAAAGGAGUGGUGUGGGUCAAUAAAGUCAGGGCCAAAAUCAAGCGGCAUUCCUUAUUACGAGACUUCAGCAAAAGAAGAUAUAAAUGUAGAUGAUGCAUUCUACAACAUUGCAAUUGCUGCCUUAUCUCAUGAUCGUUCACAAGAAUUAUACUUUGAAAGUAUAACAGAGUCCGGUUCGUUAUCAGAAAUAGUUGAACCAAGAAGAGGAUGCCCUUGCUAAACUAAUUUGUUCAUGACGCUUGAUCUACAUUCUAACUAUUAUUGGAAGUUAUUUGAUUCUUUUAAGUUAAAUGUAUACAUUUUGCUUGCGCCAUUAAUAAAUGGAAAAUGAAAAGAAAAAUAAACUGUAAUUUUAUGUCAUUGCUAUUAUUUGUUUUCUUGAGAGAUAA